rnacentral:rRNA from 1 species
CAGUAGCCGCGGGAAUACCGAGGGUGCGAGCGUUAAUCGGAUUUACUGGGCGUAAAGCGUGCGUAGGCGGCUAAUUGAGUCGGAUGUGAAAUCCCCGAGCUUAACUUGGGAAUUGCAUUCGAUACUGGUUAGCUAGAGUGUGGGAGAGGAUGGUAGAAUUCCAGGUGUAGCGGUGAAAUGCGUAGAGAUCUGGAGGAAUACCGAUGGCGAAGGCAGCCAUCUGGCCUAACACUGACGCUGAGGUACGAAAGCAUGGGGAGCAAACAGGAUUAGAGACCCCUGUAGUCCCUGUCUCUUAUAC